UACGGGGGGGGCAAGCGUUGUUCGGAAUUACUGGGCGUAAAGGGCUCGUAGGUGGCCAACUAAGUCAGACGUGAAAUCCCUCGGCUUAACCGGGGAACUGCGUCUGAUACCGGAUGGCUUGAGUUUGGGAGAGGGAUGCGGAAUUCCAGGUGUAGCGGUGAAAUGCGUAGAUAUCUGGAGGAACACCGGUGGCGAAGGCGGCAUCCUGGACCAACACUGACACUGAGGAGCGAAAGCCAGGGGAGCAAACGGG
rnacentral:rRNA from 1 species